GACGAACGCUGGCGGCGUGCUUAACACAUGCCAGUCGAACGGGUCUGCCCUGUUUUUUGCGGGGUGGGUCAGUGGCGAACGGGUGAGUAACACGUGAGUAACCUGCCCCUCACUUCUGGAUAACCGCUUGAAAGGGUGGCUAAUACGGGGUGUUCUGGCUGUGCCGCAUGGUGUGGCUGGGAAAGAUUCACUUUUGUGGUGUUUUGGUGGGGGAUGGGCUCGCGGCCUAUCAGCUUGUUGGUGGGGUGAUGGCCUGCCAAGGCUUUGACGGGUAGCCGGCCUGGGAGGGUGGGCGGUCACACUGGGACUGGGAUACGGCCCAGACUCCUGCGGGAGGCAGCAGUGGGGGGUAUUGCACAAUGGGCGGAAGCCUGAUGCAGCGACGUCGCGUGAGGGAUGGAGGCCUUCGGGUUGUGAACCUCUUUCGCCGGUGAAGAAGGUCCUGCUCUUUGUGGUGGGGUUGACGGUAGCCGGGUUAUGAAGCGCCGGCUAACUACGUG
rnacentral:rRNA from 1 species